ACCUGGUUGAUCCUGCCAGUGGGCAUAUGCUCGUUUCAAAGAUUAAGCCAUGCAUGUCUUAGUUCAUACCUAGUAAAUGUGAGACUGCGAAAGGCUCAGUAUAUCAGUUAUAGUUUAUUCGAUUGUGAAAUCCACUGGAUAACCGUGGAAAAUCUAGAGCUAACACAUGCGAAAAAUGACUGUUCUCCCUCGGGGGUUCAGUUAUGCAUUUAUUAGUUUAGAACCAAUCUUGUUGGGGCUUGCCCUGGCUUGUAGUGGUGACUCUGAAUAACUGUGCCGAUCGUAUGGCCUUGAGCCGGCGACGUUUCGAUUAAAUUUCUGCCCUAUCAAUUUGUUGGUAAGGUCGUGGCUUACCAAGAUAAUUACGGGUAACGGGGAAUCAGGGUUCGAUUCCGGAGAGGGAGCCUGAGAAACGGCUACCACAUCCAAGGAAGGCAGCAGGCGCGCAAAUUACCCAAUCCAAACACUGGGAGGUGGUGACGAGAAAUACCAGGUCGUUCCCACAAGGAUUCGAUACUGGAAUGAAUGUAAUGUAAAAAAUUCAAUGAGUAGCAACUGGAGGGCAAGUCUGGUGCCAGCAGCCGCGGUAAUUCCAGCUCCAGUAGUGUAUCCCAAAGUUGCUGCGGUUAAAACGCUCGUAGUUGGACAAUAGAGUAAUUUGGUGCAGGCGGGAGAUAAUUACUAAUGGCUUGUUGCUUUCUUUACGGAUUGUGACAGUUGUUUUGUAGAUACUUUUUCGACCUUGCAGCUGAAUUGCUUAGAUUAUUUUGAGAGGACAUUUUAUGGCCUUAAUUGUGCUGUACUAUGUAUCUUGCAUAACGUGCCUUGAAUAAAUCAGAGUGCUCAAAGCAAGCUUACGCUUGAAUGUUAAUAGCAUGGAACGAAUGUUUUGUGAAUGCAAUGCUGGGGGUCCUCGGGCUCUUAGUAUUGUAGCACCAACCGCGAAGCAGAGCAUUGGUUGCUGUCUUCGGGUGAUGAUUAAGAGGGGCAUUUGGGGGCAUUAGUAUUUGGCAGCGAGAGGUGAAAU
rnacentral:rRNA from 1 species